rnacentral:rRNA from 1 species
UGACCGCUGGCGGCAUGCCUUACACAUGCAAGUCGAACGGCAGCACGGGUGCUUGCACCUGGUGGCGAGUGGCGAACGGGUGAGUAAUACAUCGGAACAUGUCCUGUAGUGGGGGAUAGCCCGGCGAAAGCCGGAUUAAUACCGCAUACGAUCUACGGAUGAAAGCGGGGGACCUUCGGGCCUCGCGCUAUAGGGUUGGCCGAUGGCUGAUUAGCUAGUUGGUGGGGUAAAGGCCUACCAAGGCGACGAUCAGUAGCUGGUCUGAGAGGACGACCAGCCACACUGGGACUGAGACACGGCCCAGACUCCUACGGGAGGCAGCAGUGGGGAAUUUUGGACAAUGGGCGAAAGCCUGAUCCAGCAAUGCCGCGUGUGUGAAGAAGGCCUUCGGGUUGUAAAGCACUUUUGUCCGGAAAGAAAUCCUUGGCUCUAAUACAGUCGGGGGAUGACGGUACCGGAAGAAUAAGCACCGGCUAACUACGUG